rnacentral:rRNA from 1 species
GACGAACGCUGGCGGCGUGCUUAACACAUGCAAGUCGAACGGAAAGGCCCUGCUUUUGUGGGGUGCUCGAGUGGCGAACGGGUGAGUAACACGUGAGUAACCUGCCCUUGACUUUGGGGUAACUUCAGGAAAUUGGGGCUAAUACCGGAUAGGAGCUCCUGCUGCAUGGUGGGGGUUGGAAAGUUUCGGCGGUUGGGGAUGGACUCGCGGCUUAUCAGCUUGUUGGUGGGGUAGUGGCUUACCAAGGCUUUGACGGGUAGCCGGCCUGAGAGGGUGACCGGCCACAUUGGGACUGAGAUACGGCCCAGACUCCUACGGGAGGCAGCAGUGGGGAAUAUUGCACAAUGGGCGGAAGCCUGAUGCAGCAACGCCGCGUGCGGGAUGACGGCCUUCGGGUUGUAAACCGCUUUCGCCUGUGACGAAGCGUGAGUGACGGUAAUGGGUAAAGAAGCACCGGCUAACUACGUG